UAUAACCCCAUGUGGGGCCCAUAUGGGAGGAUAGACUCCAAAAAAUCUUCUUCCAUCUUGUAUCAAAGCCACGUGCCUUUUCUUCCCUCCCACUCCUUUGUGUAUAAGUUUCACCAAGAUAGUACAAAUGAGGGUGUAACACCAUUCAUCAGCCAUUUCUUCUUGACCACUCUCUCACUCUAUAUCUCUCUAUCUCGGGUACACUCUAAACAACCAAGAAACCACCGAACACCCACUGCCAUCACUCUAUUUAACUGAAAAACCACCACCAAACACCUCCCAUUACUACCUUACUUCCGUUUGUGAAGUCCCUCAGCCCCCUUUACCUUCGAACUCACCAUUAAAAAAAAAAAAGCAAGAAAAACCGGCAGCAGGAGGCUGCCGAACUUCCUCCAUCUUCACAGCAUCACCGUCGCUGCCACCUUGCGCCACCGACUUCCGCCACCUCCAGCCACCCAUACGGUUGUAGGGGAUCAUUAGCCAGGCGUUCAGACAGAAGAUUAGCUGUGGAUUACAGACGACCUAGCUAGCUUGUUUUUGAUAUCUGCUUACCUGUUUAAGGUAACUAGUGUACUAUUAUUAUCUGUAAGAACCUUGUAUUCAAAUUUAAUGAGGGAAUACAAAUGCAAUUUUGUUUA